rnacentral:rRNA from 1 species
UACAGAGGGUGCAAACGUUGCUCGGAAUUAUUGGGCGUAAAGCGCGUGUAGGCGGCUUGUUAUGUCGGUCGUGAAAGCCCCCGGCUCAACCGGGGAGGGUGGCUGGAAACUGGCGUUCUUGAGGGCGAGAGAGGAGGGUGGAAUUCCUGGUGUAGCGGUGAAAUGCGUAGAGAUCAGGAGGAACACCCGGGGCGAAGGCGGCCCUCUGGCUCGACCCUGACGCUGAGGCGCGAAAGCGUGGGGAGCGAACGGG